CCUGCCCUGUGACUUCGUGUUUAACGGCCGCGGUAUCCUAACCGUGCAAAGGUAGCGCAAUCAAUUGUCUCAUAAAUCGAGACCUGUAUGAAUGGCUAAACGAGGUCUUAACUGUCUCUUACAGGCGAUCGGUGAAAUUGAUCUCCCUGUGCAAAAGCAGGGAUAACUACAUAAGACGAGAAGACCCUGUGGAGCUUAAAAAUCAGCAGCCACCCCACAACACAUUCACACCCACUGGGUUCACGCUUUAUCAAGUGCUGGCCUGCAUUUUUCGGUUGGGGCGACCUUGGAGAAAAACAGAUCCUCCAAAUAUUAGACCACAACUCUAGACCGAGAGCGACCUCUCAACGUGCUAAUAGUACCCAGACCCAAUAUAAUUGAUCAAUGGACCAAGUUACCCCAGGGAUAACAGCGCAAUCUCCUCCGAGAGUCCGUAUCGACGAGGGGGUUUACGACCUC
rnacentral:rRNA from 1 species